rnacentral:rRNA from 1 species
AAUCAACGCUGGCGGCGUGCCUCAGACAUGCAAGUCGAACGAUUAAAGCUCCCUUCGGGGAGUGUAUAGAGUGGCGCACGGGUGAGUAACACGUAAGUAAUCUACCCUCGAGUGGGGAAUAACGUCCGGAAACGGACGCUAAUACCGCAUAAUGCAGCGGCACCGCAAGGUGACAGUUGUUAAAGAUUUAUCGCUUGAGGAGGAGCUUGCGGCAGAUUAGCUAGUGGUAAGGUAAUGGCUUACCAAGGCUACGAUCUGUAACCGGUCUAAGAGGACGGUCGGUCACACUGACACUGAAUAACGGGUCAGACUCCUACGGGAGGCAGCAGUCGGGAAUUUUGGGCAAUGGGCGAAAGCCUGACCCAGACACG